AGACAACAACAGCAGAACUGCAGUCACUGUGCAGAUAAUGACUUGGGGCUGAAUCAGUUAUUACAGAACAUGCUAAUUGGGUUUUAGGAGCAAUAAGAUGAUUCGUUGCCAGUAAUGUCCUUGUACUUUGCCAGCCGGUAAAAAACUGGUGAUAUCCGAGCAAGGUGCGGAUCGCUCUGAUUCCCUUGGGCUGGGCAUGGCAGAGGAUGUAUUUCUUAUGCAUGGAUUUGCAGCAUAUUUCCGUGUUUCACCAUUGGUGGAUUUUUUCAGGAAACGGGCACCAAAUUUCACACGGAAAAAUUUGCAGUGCGCCAAAAAAUUGAUGCCCACAGCUAAAAAAAUUGGAAAUCUUUGGAAAGAUAUGUGAAUUUGCCGGCGAAGAAAAACGGGACAGAUUCGCUUGUCACUAAUAGUAUGGUCGCAGGACAGGUAUCUUAUUCCUCCUGUAUCCCUAAGGGAAAUAGGAAGUGUCUUAUUACAGUUUAUAUACACCCUGGCAUUCCCAUCAUUCAUUCGGGAGAAAGGCAGAAGAAAAAAGCGAAAUCCCAGGCUAAUUCUGUCACAUUGGAUUUAGUGUGCAA